AAAAGACCCUGGGCCAAAUUUUGCCAAACAUGAAAGGCUUACUGUUCUCUCUCUUUCUCAGUCAAAGCAGCCUUACUCAGCAAUGGAUCUUUCUAUGCACAAGAAUGUUAAAGAUUGGAUUGCAUGUAAUUAUUUCAUCUGCCAUUUGGGAUGGAUAUAUCACAUUCAGUUCAUUUGUGUCUUUCAUUGGCUACAGCCUACAAGCAUUACUUCUCUGCAGCUGACAUGGUUUACUGUGUUUCUUCCUUUUAGAAAAAAUU
rnacentral:lncRNA from 1 species